rnacentral:rRNA from 1 species
GACGGAGGGUGCUAGCGUUGUUCGGAAUUACUGGGCGUAAAGGGCGCGUAGGCGGCCCUGUCAGUCGGGUGUGAAAGCCCGGGGCUCAACCCCGGAACGGCACCCGAGACGGCGGGGCUGGAGACCGGGAGAGGAGGGUGGAAUAGCCAGUGUAGAGGUGAAAUUCGUAGAUAUUCGCAAGAACACCAGUGGCGAAGGCGGCUCACUGGCCCGGUACUGACGCUGAGGUGCGAAAGCGUGGGGAGCAAACAGG